rnacentral:rRNA from 1 species
UACAGAGGGUGCUAGCGUUGUUCGGAAUUACUGGGCGUAAAGGGCGCGUAGGCGGCCUUUUAAGUCAGACGUGAAAGCCCCGGGCUCAACCUGGGAAUUGCGUUUGAUACUGAAAGGCUAGAAGACGGGAGAGGAAAGUGGAAUUCCUAGUGUAGAGGUGAAAUUCGUAGAUAUUAGGAAGAACACCAGAGGCGAAGGCGACUUUCUGGACCGAUUUUGACGCUGAGGCGGCGAAAAGCGUGGGGAGCAAACAGGG